rnacentral:pre_miRNA from 1 species
GUCGGCUGCUCGGGAACCGCUGGCACGUUGGAGCCCUCGCCUUUGUGCCUCUCGGCGAGCGUGAUGUGCCACGGCUCUCGUCGGCCUGUC